rnacentral:rRNA from 1 species
UACGUAGGGGGCAAGCGUUGUCCGGAUUUAUUGGGCGUAAAGAGCUCGUAGGCGGCCUGUUGCGUCCGCUGUGAAAGCCCGGGGCUUAACCCCGGGUCGGCAGUGGAUACGGGCAGGCUAGAGGUAGGUAGGGGAGAAUGGAAUUCCCGGUGUAGCGGUGAAAUGCGCAGAUAUCAGGAGGAACACCGAUGGCGAAGGCAGGUCUCUGGGCCAUAACUGACGCUGAGAAGCGAAAGCAUGGGGAGCGAACAGG